GACAGAGAUGCCGAGCGUUAGGCGGAAUCACUGGGCUUAAAGCGUGUGUAGGCGGGCCGUUAAGUAUCUUGUGAAAUCCCCCGGCUCAACCGGGGAAUGGCUGGAUAUACUGGCGGUCUUGAGCGAUCUAGGGGCAGAUGGAACAAGUGGUGGAGCGGUGAAAUGCGUAGAUAUCACUCGGAACGCCAAAGGUGAAAACAGUCUGCUGGGGAUCUGCUGACGCUGAGACACGAAAGCCAGGGGAGCGAACGGG
rnacentral:rRNA from 1 species